rnacentral:rRNA from 1 species
CACGUAGGGUGCGAGCGUUGUCCGGAAUUAUUGGGCGUAAAGAGCUCGUAGGCGGUUUGUCACGUCGGGAGUGAAAACUCAGGGCUUAACCCUGAGCCUGCUUCCGAUACGGGCAGACUAGAGGUAUGCAGGGGAGAAUGGAAUUCCCGGUGUAGCGGUGAAAUGCGCAGAUAUCGGGAGGAACACCGGUGGCGAAGGCGGUUCUCUGGGCCUUACCUGACGCUGAGGAGCGAAAGCGUGGGGAGCGAACAGG